GUCCUCGUAGAUCAACGGUAGAUCAUCCGCAUUGCAUCAGUUUAUUCAUGGCAAUUUUUGAGGAAGGUGUGGGUUCAACUCCCGUCGAGGGCA